rnacentral:lncRNA from 10 species
AGUCUUGCUCUGUCACCCAGGCUAGAGUGCAGUGGUGCGAUCCUGGCUCCUGGGUUCAAGCGAUCCUCCUCCCUCAGCCUCCUGAGUAGCUUGGGAUUACAGGUGGGCGCCACCACGCCUGGCUAAUUUUUGUAUUUUCAGUAGAGAUGGGGUUUCGCCAUGUCUCAAACUCCUGACCUCAAGUGAUCCGCCCACCUUGGCCUUCCAAAGUGCCGGGAUUCCAGACCUGAGCCCCGACACCCGGCCAGUAUUCUGUAUAUUAAUAUGAUCUGUGGGGAAAGUCUGCCAGGUGUGUGUCAAACUGCUAAUGAUAGGAAGUGGUGGAGGGUGCUCCGCAAGGACAGGGAGCCUCCUGUGUAAUGUGCUGGUUGUUUGAGUUUUUGUGGUGAAAAUUUAUUCGUGGAUUACCUGAAUACAUGUGUAAAUAUUUUUAAGAUCCUAAGAUCAUAAAAUUGAAUGCACACACACACAUUUCAAAAGGCUGCACAGGGGUCUGGAGGCCCCACCACAGCUCCCCUGGUGCCAGGUGGACCCCCUGCCUGGCUGCUCUUGGCUGCCUCCCUCCCCCAGCUCCCCUCCCCGCACCAUCACAGCCAAGCUCAUUAGUUCUCACUGCUGCCCUUGUUCUGACCUCAGGGUUAUGGAAACUUCAGCUCUGUUUUCACAACCUUCCAUCAGCCAUGCUCUAUGGCCAUCCCUCUCCCCUGAUCAGACUCCAAUCCCAUCAGCUUUGUAACAGCUGCUCCCUCAGGCCCUAGCAAGAAGCCACGAGCCAGGGACAACCUGGGAUGAGGCCUGGGGGUCCUGGCUCUCCGGCCGUGGCCCCCUUAGAUCCCACGGAAAAACGGCUGCUUCCCAGAAUAGCAAAGCCAUAAAUCUGCUGUACUAUGAGGAAGAAAAAGCCCGAAGCCAAACUGCCCUAUGUGUGGGAGGUUGGGGGUGAGAAAGGAGCAAAAGAAGACCCAGCCCCGCACUUAGGAGGCCCCAGUCUGGGAAGCCCGGGAGACUCCCCUUGCGCAACAAGCGGCAACAGAACUCAGCGAUCGGCCAGACCUUUCGUUUUCAGGUGGAGUAACAGAGGCUCAGGGAGGGAAACGGGUUUGUCCAAUACCCCCAGUGAGUCUGCACAAAACUUCUGCCUCACCCCAAGCUCCUGCUCCAGCCCUGAGCUUUGGCUUGUCUGAGUCCUUCCCUGCCAGCUCCCAGUAGCAGAAAGGUCGUGAUCCACCAGCAGGAAGCUGACCAGGCAGAGCAGCCGGGUCCACGGGGCCGGAGGCAAGAUAGAAGUAUGUGCAUCUCUGCGGUGGCCCAGGGAAAAUAUUGACUUUCUGGCUAAUAAAGCCAAAUUCCAUGGAAGCUACAGCUCCGGACUGAGAAAAUCCAUCGGUGUUUCAUAAAUAUUUGAAAGUGUCCAAUGGAUACUCACCGUGCGGUGGCUGAAGCCUGGGUUCGAGGGUGAACAGGGACAGAAAGCCCAGCCCUCACACAGCGCGGAAGCUCCAGAGUCACUUGGCCAUCCAUUCAGAAGCUGCCCGUAUUUGUAUUUGCUUUUGAAAGCAAAAGGAGCUCUGAAAGGACACACAGGAAACGAAAAGCAGGGUUACAGAGUAGGAAGGCGGAAAGGCUUCUUUCUCUAUGCU